rnacentral:rRNA from 1 species
UUGGUCGCCAACGAGUGGCGGACGGGUGAGUAACACGUAGGUAACCUGCCCAGAAGCGGGGGACAACAUUUGGAAACAGAUGCUAAUACCGCAUAACAACGUUGUUCGCAUGAACAACGCUUAAAAGAUGGCUUCUCGCUAUCACUUCUGGAUGGACCUGCGGUGCAUUAGCUUGUUGGUGGGGUAACGGCCUACCAAGGCGAUGAUGCAUAGCCGAGUUGAGAGACUGAUCGGCCACAAUGGGACUGAGACACGGCCCAUACUCCUACGGGAGGCAGCAGUAGGGAAUCUUCCACAAUGGGCGCAAGCCUGAUGGAGCAACACCGCGUGAGUGAAGAAGGGUUUCGGCUCGUAAAGCUCUGUUGUUAAAGAAGAACACGUAUGAGAGUAACUGUUCAUACGUUGACGGUAUUUAACCAGAAAGUCACGGCUAACUACGUGCCAGCAGCCGCGGUAAUACGUAGGUGGCAAGCGUUAUCCGGAUUUAUUGGGCGUAAAGAGAGUGCAGGCGGUUUUCUAAGUCUGAUGUGAAAGCCUUCGGCUUAACCGGAGAAGUGCAUCGGAAACUGGAUAACUUGAGUGCAGAAGAGGGUAGUGGAACUCCAUGUGUAGCGGUGGAAUGCGUAGAUAUAUGGAAGAACACCAGUGGCGAAGGCGGCUACCUGGUCUGCAACUGACGCUGAGACUCGAAAGCAUGGGUAGCGAACAGGAUUAGAUACCCUGGUAGUCCAUGCCGUAAACGAUGAGUGCUAGGUGUUGGAGGGUUUCCGCCCUUCAGUGCCGGAGCUAACGCAUUAAGCACUCCGCCUGGGGAGUACGACCGCAAGGUUGAAACUCAAAGGAAUUGACGGGGGCCCGCACAAGCGGUGGAGCAUGUGGUUUAAUUCGAAGCUACGCGAAGAACCUUACCAGGUCUUGACAUCUUGCGCCAACCCUAGAGA